rnacentral:rRNA from 1 species
UACGUAGGGUGCAAGCGUUAAUCGGAAUUACUGGGCGUAAAGCGUGCGAAGGCGGUUCUAUAAGACAGAUGUGAAAUCCCCGGGCUCAACCUGGGAACUGCAUUUGUGACUGUAGAGCUGGAGUGCGGCAGAGGGGGAUGGAAUUCCGCGUGUAGCAGUGAAAUGCGUAGAUAUGCGGAGGAACACCGAUGGCGAAGGCAAUCCCCUGGGCCUGCACUGACGCUCAUGCACGAAAGCGUGGGGAGCAAACAGG